GAGUUUGAUCCUGGCUCAGGACGAACGCUGGCGGCAUGGCUAAUACCUGGAAGUCGAACGAACUUUCCUUUUGAUUGAUGCUUGCAUCAUGAUUUAUAUCUAACUGAGUGGCGGACGGGGGAGUAACACGGGGGUAACCUGCCCAGAAGUGGGGGAUAACAUUUGAAAACAAGUGUUAAUACCGCAUAACAACUUUAAUCACUUGUUUUUUGUUUAAAAGAUGGUUUUGCUAUCUCUUCUGGAUGGACCCGCGGCGUAUUAGCUAGUUGGUGAGGUAAUAGCUCACCAAGGCGAUGAUACGUAGCCGACCUGAGAGGGCAAUCGGCCACAUUGGGACUGAGACACGGCCCAAACUCCUACGGGAGGCAGCAGUAGGGAAUCUUCCACAAUGGACGAAAGUCUGAUGGAGCAAUGCCGCGUGAGUGAAGAAGGCUUUCGGAUCGUAAAACUCUGUUGUUGAAGAAGAACAUAUGUGAGAGUAACGUGUUGCACGUACUGACGGUAUUCAACCAGAAAGGCCACGGCUAACUACGUKCCAGGCAAGCCGCGGUAAUAUCGUUAGGGGGCAAGCGUUGUCCGGAAUUUAUUGGGCUGUAAAGAGAAUGUAGGCGGCUUCAUUAAGUUUGAAGUGAAUAGCCCUCGGCUCAACGCGAGGAAGUGCUUCGAAAACUGGUGAACUUGAGUGCAGAAGAGGAAAGUGGAAUCUCCAUGUGUAGCGGUGAGAAAUGCGUAGAUAUAUGGAAGAACCACCAGUGGCGAAGGCGACUCUCUGUUGUCUGUAACUGACGCUGAGAUUCGAAAGCAUGGGUAGCAGACAGGAUUAGAUACCCUGUGAUAGUCCAUGCCGUAAACGAUGAGUGCUAAGUGUUGGAGGGUUUCCGCCUUUCAGUGCUGCAGCUAACGCAUUAAGCACUCCGCCUGGGGAGUUACGAUCGCAAGAUUGAAACUCAAAGGAAUUGACUGGGGGCCCGCACAAACGGUGGAGCAUGUGGUUUAAUUCGAAGCAACGGCGAAGAACCUUCACCAGGUCUUGACAUAUCCAUCGAAAAGCUAAGAGAUUAGUCUUUCCCUUUGGGGACAUGGAUACAGGUGACACAUGGUUGUUGUCAUCUCGUGUCGUGAGAUGUUGGGUUAAGUCCCGCAACGAGCGCAACCCUUUUUAUCAGCUCACAGCAUUCAGUUGGGCUCUGUGGUGAGACUCGCGGUGAUAAACCGGAGGAAGGUGGGGACGACGUCAAAUCAUCAUGCCCCUUAUGACGUGGGCUACACACGUGCUACAAUGGUCGGUACAAGGUGUUGAGAACUCGAGAGGGCAAGCAAAUCAUUUAAACCCGAUCUCAGUUCGGAUCGCAGGCUGCAUCUCGCGUACAUGAAGCUGGAAUCUAUAGUAAUCGCGGAUCAGCAUGCCGCGGUGAAUACGUUCCCGGGCCUUGUACACACCGCCCGUCACCCCAUGAGAGUUUGUCACACCCAAAGUCGGUGGGGUAACCCUUCGGGGAACUAGCCGCCUAAGGUGGGACAAAUGAUUAGGGUGAAGUCGUAACAAGGUAACCA
rnacentral:rRNA from 1 species